UUUAGGGUAAAAAAUUUCACUAUAACCUCCACUAAUCCAACCAGCGAUACUACACCACCGUAAAUACCAUCACCAGAUCCAGCACCCACCGAUGCCACCUCCGUCGCCGCCAUCGUCAUCUCUAUCUUCUAUCAUCAGAAAAAAAACACACGAUCAAAACGAACUCCACCAACACGAUCUCCAUCGCCACCAUCACCAUCUCCACCACCACGAAAAGUCAAUUUUACCAAAUCCCACCACCACCACUACCAGAACAACAAUAUCUUCUUAUUACCAUCGUCAUCAUCACCGCACUCAACUCCAAUAUGUUGAGAGAUAUCAUUUUCGGAUUCGAUUUCUCAAUAUUCCGGUGUUUGUUGUCGCAGUGGUGGUGGUAGUGGAUGUUGGAGUGGAGGUUGAGGUAGCCGCUGCAGUGGUGGAUGUUGCAUCAGUUGUGUUGGUGGUUGUUAGUGUGGUGGUGGUGGUGGUUGUUGUUGGUGUGGUAGUGGUGGAUGAUGUUGUAGUAUGGUAGUGGUUACAUCAUUGGUGUUGGUAGUGGUUGUGGAGGUGGUGAUGGUGGUUUUUGUUGUCUGAAUUUCGAAGUCAGUCAGUGAUGGAUAGGACUUGGGUAAUAGAAAUUGCAGCCAAUGAGUGCCUAAAUCUAGAAGUUCAGCGAACCAAACUUGGUUGUGGCGGCUGUGUAAAUAUGAGAGGUGGAAUCAAGUCCCAUAAUCUGUUGGAAGGGUCUAUGUUGGCUGGAGUAACUCGUGGCGAUGGCGAGAUCUUUGCAUUUCAAUUCUGAAAGAAUGAUUCUGAAUUAGUAAUUAAUUUGGUGUGUACAAAAUGGAGAGAGUUUGCUGUGGCUGGUGCUCAGAAGUUCAAGGUGUUGUGGUCGGAGUUUGCUAAUGUGGUUGAGCUGAUUUUAUUCGUGGAGGAAGGUAAGCAGAAAAGAUGGAGAAGGUUGUAUGUUAUUUGAAUCAAUGGUGGAGAUGGACUGGCUCAAGUCUAGUUAGCUUUUGGUUCCUACAAAGUGGCUAGAGCUCGCAGGAUUUCUGUAAUACCAAACUGCUGAGGUCAGUAUUAUGAGAAGCUGGUGGCUCGUUGUUGUACGAUAUUGAUUGAAUGUGGGAUAUUGGCUUGACUGGAUGUAGAUGGACAGUGGACGAAGGUGUUGUGCAGAGAAUGUAAAGCGGCUAGUGGUGUUGAACCGAUGAAGUAAUUGACAAAUGAAGUUGCGAGAAGUUAAGAUGUAUGUGUUGGCUUAAUUGUAUUCGACGAAACUGUGUUCGAGCGAGACGAGGCAUUUGGGUCUGAACUGAUUGCUAGAUACAUGUUGAUGGUGCAAUUUUGGUACUGUAGGCAUUUUUGGAGCUGCAUCCAGGGGCAAUCAAUAGCAUCCGAGCAAGUCUCACUUAGACAUUGGUAUUCUUUUAACUCUAGUUGAUAAGUUUUACAAUUUUAUGUCUAUCGGAUGUGAUUUUGAUAUGUUGUUUUGUAUUGACGAAUCUAUGGUGCAAUGGUAGCACAACUGACUAUAUGUCAGAAAAUGUGUGUUCGAUUCACGCUAGGUUCACUUAUUUGUGUAUAAUUUUCUUUGGA